AUUGAACGCUGGCGGCAGGCCUAACACAUGCAAGUCGAGCGAGCGGCGGACGUGUGAGUAAUGUCUGGGACACUGCCAGGUGGAGGGGGAUAACUACUGGACACGGUAGCUAAUACCGCAUAACAUCAGAUGUGCCCAGUUGGGUUUAGCUUGUAGGUGGGGUAACGGCUCACCUAGGCGACGAUCCCUAGCUGGUCUGAGAGGAUGACCAGCCACACGGGAACUGAGACACGGUCCAGACUCCUACGGGAGGCAGCAGUGGGGAAUAUUGCACAAGGGGCGCAAGCCUGAUGCAGCCAUGCCGCGUGUAUGAAGAAGGCCUUCGGGUUGUAAAGUACUUUCAGCGGGGAGGCGUUACCCGCAGAAGAAGCACCGGCUAACUCCGUGCCAGCCGCCGCGGUAAUAC
rnacentral:rRNA from 1 species